rnacentral:rRNA from 1 species
AUACGUAGGUGGCAAGCGUUGUCAGGAAUUAUUGGGCGUAAAGCGCGCGCAGGUGGUUCCUUAAGUCUGAUGUGAAAGCCCCCGGCUCAACCGGGGAGGGUCAUUGGAAACUGGGGUACUUGAGUGCAGAAGAGGAUAGUGGAAUUCCAAGUGUAGCGGUGAAAUGCGUAGAGAUUUGGAGGAACACCAGUGGCGAAGGCAACGGUCUGGACUGUAACGGACACUGAGGGGCGAAAGCGUGUGGAGCAAACAGUAUUAGAUACCCGGGUAGGCCGCGCCGUAAACGAAGAGUGCUAAGUGUUGGGGGGUUUCCACCCCUCAGUGCUGCAGCUAACUCGUUAAGCACUCCGCCUGGGGAGUACGGUCGCAAGGCGUAAACUCAAAUGAAUUGACGGGG